CCACCAACGGUUCCAAUUGCUCUCAAAAUGGUAGAGAUAAAUCUCGGCUGAAAAGGCUUCCCCCUUCUCCGCCCUAAUACAACGUCGGUGAUUUGCUGCACUUAUUAUUUUUCAGUUACCAAAAACAAGGGUUCCUCUUCAACCUGUUCUUCUCAAUCGUCGUACGUUACGCACAACGGGAUCCGUAUUAAACAUCACCAUUAUUUCUCCGUAAUCCUAAGCAUGAGUUGUGAUGGCACCAGUCGCUAUUCGAUGAUUGGUUAACUGAAUGUCACAACCGUUUCAUUUUCUUGGGAAUCACUGAAAUUAAAUCUCCAAUUUGUUCUUCGUCGUUGCUUAGCAAUUUCUCGAUACUACAUAAACUUCAAAUAGUUUUGUCUUCCAAACUUUGUGAACUUUAUCAAUGCUUAUGCAACAUCGACAUUUGCAGCAGACUUAGCAGAGGUUAAUGCCAUCAAGACGGUCUGUAAGAACGCAUCUGGGAUCAAGUCGAUGAUUGGACGUUGGCUCGGGACAGCUGGUGGAUUAGAAGCCAUAGCUACAAUCAAAGGUGUAUUAUAUUUGUUAUUCUUGUGAGGAUUAUGCAAGUAGCUUUCCCACGGGUGUUCUUUAGAAGCAAUAUACUGUGGUUGGGCCGUGUAUAAAGUUGGUCAUGACAUGACACCAUCACCUGCUACCCCAAAGGGAUGCAUUACAUGUGGUCAGUGUCACCUAAAUUCAUCCAGGGGUAAAUUUAAACAAACAAAUGUUAUUUGCAACUAUUUUUUCAUAGGUUCUCUCAGGAACUGUUGACUUAUCAGACGUCGUUUAUGAAUUAUGAGGCUGGAACGCUAAGUGAAUAGAAACAAUAUAAGUUGACGCAAAAGUUAUUUAACUAGAUUUGGAGUUGGUGGUUCAGAAUUGGUCGCACUUUGUUGUUCAUCGACACUCUUCUUUUAUGGUUUUAAUGUUGGAAAUUCAGUGGUUGGGUCUGCAUUACACCAUCAUUUUUCUUUACAAAAAGUUUAAGCUUGGGUGGACGUUGUGGAUUAUUCAGACUCAAAUAUAGUAUAAUUACUCCAUCAUCGGAAAUGCUGGAUUCUUUGUUAUGGAUCAAAACCCAAGGACAAAGCCUGACUACAUAAUAAAACUGACGAAGACUUCUGGAUCUUGAAGUUGAUCCUAAACUUUAUGAUAACCGUUUCCUUGAACAAUACAGGUUAUCAUAUCAUGUAUAUACGCAAAUUCCAUCUUUUAUUACUAAAAACAUUGUAUAGAACGAGUAGUUUUCUUUUCAUACUAAUUGCUUUCGACAAAUUUAUUGUUUUGUUGUCAAAGGAAGCAAAGACUGGCAGUGAUGAUAGAAGCCGCAAAGAUAGCAAAGUUUGGAUCUGUAAUGGCUAUGCCAGGUUCAGAUUUUGUUUGCCAGGUCUCCGAGGUUCCAUCAUAUGUUUGAGGUACUCCAAGGUUGUAGGACGUUAGUUUUACAAGGUUCUUUUCUAGGAUUUGGUUGGUUAGAUGGUGUAAUUCAGUUUUCAAGUAAUCCGUUUUCCCCUGAUUUUGUGCUUAAAUGUACUCGAUUACCUGCUGAUUCACGGAUUGUCGGGUAUUUUAUUUUGCCUGCAUGAAAUGGCUACAAGAUACUCAAC